rnacentral:rRNA from 1 species
GUAGGUGGCGAGCGUUGUCCGGAAUUACUGGGUGUAAAGGGAGUGUAGGCGGGAAGGCAAGUCAGAAGUGAAAAUUAUGGGCUCAACCCAUAACCUGCUUUUGAAACUGUUUUUCUUGAGUGAAGCAGAGGCAAGCGGAAUUCCUAGUGUAGCGGUGAAAUGCGUAGAUAUUAGGAGGAACACCAGUGGCGAAGGCGGCUUGCUGGGCUUUUACCGACGCUGAGGCUCGAAAGCGUGGGGAGCAAA